AAUUUUCUGUAAAGUUCGUGACUAAACGCUAUAAUAAUUGAGCCAACACUUGAAUAUACGGGAGGCUGAUGCCGAUUUUCGGUGCAAUCUUUCAUAGUUAAAGAUUUGCCGUAGAAAACGGCUUUGAUGCUCUUUCGGGCAGAAAGCCACCCACCUGUAACAUACAGGUUCAAUUCAAUCGUUUGGAACGGCUUGCGCGGUUUUCUC
rnacentral:other from 1 species